rnacentral:rRNA from 1 species
GAAAGCCUGACGGAGCAAUACCGCGUGAGGGAGGAAGGCUCUUGGGUUGUAAACCUCUUUUCUCAGGGAAUAAGAAAGUGAAGGUACCUGAGGAAUAAGCAUCGGCUAACUCCGUGCCAGCAGCCGCGGUAAUACGGAGGAUGCAAGCGUUAUCCGGAAUGAUUGGGCGUAAAGCGUCCGCAGGUGGCACUGUAAGUCUGCUGUUAAAGAGCAAGGCUCAACCUUGUAAAGGCAGUGGAAACUACAGAGCUAGAGUACGUUCGGGGCAGAGGGAAUUCCUGGUGUAGCGGUGAAAUGCGUAGAGAUCAGGAAGAACACCGGUGGCGAAAGC